AUAGUUAUUCAUUUUAUCAUAUACUAAAGGUCAUAUAAGAGACUAUACUAGAUAUCAGCUACUGAAUGAUGAAUACCUUCCAGUGUUUGGUCCUUGUUGCUGCUAUUGGAUUCAUGAUUGCAGCAACUGCCAGGGCAGAUGAAGUUUGCUUCACUGAUUUAGAUUGCAAAACUGGAGCUAAUAUAACUGAAGCCGAAGACUGCUGCAGUCUUGAUGGAGUCAAGUCUUAUGAGCAUCUUGAUCCAGAUCACGGUCCUGAUGUGCACUGCCACAAUUGCAAGUAGCUGAGGGAAAGAAGCUCUGAGAAGGAAAGACUCUGUACUUUCAAUAAAUAAAUAAAUAAAUAAAUUUUGCUAACAAUAAAUAAAUAAUUAUAUAAAAUAAUCUUAACUAUUUCAGAAUAACUGAUAA